GAAAAUGGGCUAUUUCUCUGCAAGGGAGCAGAUUCAAAUGGCAGGCAAGGUUCUGAUUCUUUUCUCAUCUCUAGCUCCACAGGGCAGCUUUAGUGCACAGCAAAACUGUCCCUGGGUCAAAAAAAUAUUAUGAACCACAGCACAGCCCUGUACUUUUCUCAAUUGCAGAAAGAAUUGCUUUACCGACAGCCUUCAGAUGUAAUUUUCCCAGUGAAAAAUCCCCUUGCCAGAGCAGAUGUUCCUUGGAAGAAACACCGAAGUCUUUCAGGAUCCAAGCCCAGUGCAGAGCAUAUAGAAGAUACCCAGUAAAGAUUUCCUGCUUGGUGGAGUGAAAAAAAACACAGCCUUCACCUCUCAUUGCUUGACCGCUGGUGAGUUGGGAAAGGGAAAAAAGUUGUGUGGGAGAUAUUUGUGGACUGAAUAGAGGCCAGGAAAAGAGAAUGAAUAUCCUCUCUUACCUUUACCUUCAGUUUUUAAAUUUAACUUAUAUUAUUAAUUAUGACAAUCAAUAUUUGUAUUAGAAUAUUAUGUGACCUAUUAUAAUAUGUUUAUUUACCACUAUUUUUGUAUUUGUUUUGUAUAUAAUUAUAGCAGCUAAGAAAUACCCAGCAUAUCCAUAAGUCACUAUGUGCCCAUAAGCUAUACAUACUCAAUAUUUAACAUCAAACAGGACUUCUGUCAUGUAAGAAGAUUUUAUCAAAUGCAACAUUCAGUCCAAAUGACAGUAAAGCAUAUAACACAGAUUUGAUUCUCCUUCAGUGCCAACUUCCUCUCUCUCUCCCUAACGGAAGUGAAAACUUUGACCUAAUGAAAGUGGUGAAACAAACCCUGUUCACAUUGAUUUGCCAACCAGAAGGCCCACAGUCUAAAUACAGGAACUGGACACAGGAAUUUCAGUAUUUGUUUUGCAUUAUAAAGAUAUUGGAGCCAUGGAGGGAGUUUUUUGAAUUUUGAUUAUUAGAGAUUCAAACAAUGUUUACAUACAAGAUACCAGUCUGUAUGACACUAUAUACUGGCAGAGAGCCAGCCUGUACACAUACAGCCCCUAUUGUGUGCAGCAGACAGCCACCAUCGGGGUUGGCUUUUAUAAAUUAAAUUAACAAACAUUUAAUGGAAACCAGCUUUAACAGAUAGCUUGGCCAGAUUUAGGAGAAAGUUUUGUUUGUUGUUGUUUUAAUUCCUUCCCCACUGACAGCUGUUGAUAGAACCAGGCAAUUACUAACCCUU
rnacentral:lncRNA from 1 species